UAUUCGGAGGCAAGAUAUACAAAAACAUACCGAUGGUUUUCUUGCAAGUUAUGUAGCUGUUGCCUCAGAAUUGCUGCUUCCCUCUGCCAGAACUAGAAUAUAGAACAAAUUAAGUUCAGGUGGUUUACUAGAGCAUAAUAUAGGAAACUGAGGAUGAUCCUUCCAUAUCUAAGUUGGUGAAAAAAAAAGAUCGAUGAGCUUUCUACAUUUCCUGUUAUUGUUGAAAACCCAAGUAGCAAUUGCUGCGUUAGUAGAAAUAAUAGUAUGCUUCAGUUGCUUGACCUCAUCUCUGUUAUGGCAGGUGUUUGCUUCAACAAUAUUGUGUGAGUAAAUUAGGUCAGCAACAGGAUCAUUUCAUUUGACCUUCCCCUCAUUUUAUUGCAAAUAAUUAGUCAAAUUAGAUCAUCUGAAGCAAUUACCUUGAUUUCGGAUACUGUGUCGCUUUCGCUAUCCCCUUUUGUGUCACCGUAUCGCUCGAUUAUCGAUUUCAUGCUGCAAGUGAAGAUUUUAACACAUGAGAACGUUAUCUUUCCCAUUAAUCAGCUCAAAUCAGUUGUUGCAGGGUCGGUAACCAAGCUACAAGACGGGUCAAAACACAGGUAGGUACAGCUACCCACCAACUAGUUGCCAAUAAAAAUAUAAAUAAGGGAAAAAAUAUUAAGAGGGAGUGAAUGGUAAACACCGCACACAGACUAUCCAGAUUUUUUGGUGUUACAAUUUCAGUUUUUAUCCCUUCAAAUUUUUAAGUUGGAGUAUCGAAUCCAGAUCUCGUGAGGGUCAAAUAUCAAACUCGGUUAUCAGUUAGGCGUGGCGAAAGUUCGGGUGCUCAUAUCGCCCGAUAGAAGGGCGAGUCGAGCUGAACUGAACUCCGAUAAGACUGAGGAAAGAGGGGGUGAAAGCACUGAGAGGACUUCGGGUUUACAUAUCCCCCACACCUACCUAAGAGCGCAAAGCAGAGGGAAAGCCUAAAUUUGCAAGUUGAUAUCUAUCCAGUUCUCUAUAACCACUUCCUUGUCCUAUCUUUUCUCUUUUCAUCAUUUCCUAAAAGCUCUUGAUCCAUUUUGGAUCAGUGACUACACAGUUUGUUUCUUUUUAGGAUAUGGAUCGGUGUUAACAGGUUAGAUUAGUGGUACCUCGCAUAGUCACUGAUUCAACACCCAAAUCUCUAAUUUUCUCCCAAGUUUGGGCUUUAGAUGUACCAUAUGUUGACACAUCUAUCAAUCUAGCAAGAAAUUUGAUGAAUUA